UGUAAAUUGUGAUUUUGAUAUUUUUGAUUUUCAACUGACAAUUUUUGAUUUUUAUAUUUACAAAUAACUAAAACAUUUACUACUAGUUUUCCAACCUACUAAAUCAUUGACCUACUGUAUUUUGACCUUCUGAUUUUUGACCUAAGUAAUAUUUAACCUAGCUUAUUUUCAAUUUUAUAACUAUUUUUAUCUAGUAUGUAUUUUGUAUACUUUGUUGUUUAUUUGAAUACAAGCCAAAUUUGAUCAGUCUUGGUGCAGUGGUUGAAACGCUGUCUUCAGAAUCAGAAGUCAUUGUACCACAAUGUGAAACCAAGAAGCCAGUUCCACUUGUCAAGCACAUAUGUGUUAAUUUUACUUUAUCGCCACAAAAAAUGUGUUAUCUACUUGCCUACUUGUGUUAUCUACUUACCAUACCUUUUUGAAAUAACAUUCAUAAUAAACUAUCAGCUAGAAAUAAUUGGCCACAGAAUGUACAAAGCAAUGCCUUAUCAAUAAACUAUUUGCUGUGAUUCACAAUUUUAGGAGGAAAUUUUCUGAAAAUGAGGAUGGAAAAAUUAAAAGAUGUAUAGAAUGUAAAGAAAAGAAAAAUGAAUAAUAAGAAAAUAAAUAAGCAAAAAUAUUUUGAAACAUUUGAAAACCAAAAAAAAAGACAACAACGACAUCAAAGGAGGAAGGGAAGUAAGGAACAAUAUUAGAACCAAUUUAAAAAGAAAAAGAAUGUAUUUGAAGAAAAACCUAUUUCUUUAUGUAUUGUUGUAUUUUUGUAUACCAUCUGGCUUAUUACUUAUUUUUAUUUUAUUUAUAAGUUUGUUUAAUAAAAGUGUUUUUGUCUUGUUUGUUUUUUGUUGUAAGUG